UAAUCUCACCCGGUGUGUAGUGU
rnacentral:miRNA from 1 species